AAACUUGAAGAUGAUGAUAUCAUUGAUUAUAUUCUCAAUGGGUUAGAUGCUGAUUACAACCCCUUCGUUUCAUCUAUAUCUGUCAAGGAUCAUGUUACCUUGAGUGAUCUAUAUGGUCAAUUACUCACCUAUGAGG